rnacentral:misc_RNA from 1 species
GCAUCAACUCUGCGAGCAGCCAUCCUGCGACAAGCUUCAUAAAUACUUGUACUAUCAGGUACUGUUAGGGCUUUCGACAGUCGCAGUCUCUUGACUGUCCGCUCUCCAGUCAAUCCCAUGGAACGAGACAACGACAUAGACUUUCGGGUACCGGAAUCAGGCUGUCCACCUCCAUUUUCAUGAGCGGCUGCUUUCUUCUUCAAGUUGGACGUCGAGCUCGUCAACGACAACGAACUCCUCCUCGACAAGGAUCCUCCUCCGUGACUCGUUGUCAUCUCCAACUCCAAUAUCAAUCCAAUCAAAUCAAACAAAAUUAUUCACCUCAAUCUUCAAAUUAAACCUAAGAAUAAAAUAAACGUAAAUAUACAAAAUUGUAUUCAAA